AUUGAACGCUGGCGGAAUGCUUUACACAUGCAAGUCGGAACGGUAGAGGGGGCAACCCCUUUGAGAGUGGCGAACGGGUGAGUAAUAUAUCGGAACGUGCCCAGUCGUGGGGAUAACGUAGCGAAAGUUACGCUAAAUACCGCAUACGAUCUAAGGAUGAAAGCGGGGGAUCGCAAGACCUCGUGCGAUUGGAGCGGCCGAUAUCAGAUUAGGUAGUUGGUGAGGUAAAGGCUCACCAAGCCGACGAUCUGUAGCUGGUCUGAGAGGACGACCAGCCACACUGGGACUGAGACACGGCCCAGACUCUACGGGAGGCAGCAGUGGGGAAUUUUGGACAAUGGGCGCAAG
rnacentral:rRNA from 1 species